GACGAACGCUGGCGGCGUGCUUAACACAUGCAAGUCGAACGGACCUUCGGGUUAGUGGCGAACGGGUGAGUAACACGUGGGUGAUCUGCCCUGCACUUUGGGAUAAGCCUGGGAACCUGGGUCUAAUACCGGAUAGGACCACGCAUUUUAUGGUGUGUGGUGGAAAGCUUUUGCGGUGUGGGAUGGGCCCGCGGCCUAUCAGCUUGUUGGUGGGGUAAUGGCCUACCAAGGCGACGACGGGUAGCCGGCCUGAGAGGGUGACCGGCCACACUGGGACUGAGAUACGGCCCAGACUCCUACGGGAGGCAGCAGUGGGGAAUAUUGCACAAUGGGCGCAAGCCUGAUGCAGCGUCGCCGCGUGAGGGAUGACGGCCUUCGGGUUGUAAACCUCUUUCGCCAGGGACGAAGCGCAAGUGACGGUACCUGGAGAAGAAGGACCGGCCAACUACGUGCCAGCCGCCGCCGUAAUAC
rnacentral:rRNA from 1 species